rnacentral:rRNA from 1 species
UCGUCCUACGGGACGCAGCAGUGAGGAAUAUUGGUCAAUGGGCGCGAGCCUGAACCAGCCAAGUCGCGUGAGGGAGGACGGCCCUACGGGUUGUAAACCUCUUUUGCCGGGGAGCAACGGGCGUCACGUGUGGCGCCUCUGAGAGUACCCGGAGAAAAAGCAUCGGCUAACUCCGUGCCAGCAGCCGCGGUAAUACGGAGGAUGCGAGCGUUAUCCGGAUUUAUUGGGUUUAAAGGGUGCGUAGGCGGGUCGUUAAGUCAGUGGUCAAAUUGCGGGGCUCAACCCCUUC